rnacentral:rRNA from 1 species
CAAUAGCGUAUAUUAAAGUUGUUGCAGUUAAAAGCUCGUAGUUGGAUUUGUGGUGUGUCCAGUUGGCCUUUGCUCUUUGAGUGAUAGUGCUUUACUGGUCUGCCAUGUUUGGGUGGAAUCUGUGUGGCAUUAAGUUGUCGUGCAGGGGAUGCCCAUCGUUUACUGUGAAAAAUUAGAGUGUUCAAAGCAGGCUUAUGCCUCUGAAUAUAUUAGCAUGGAAUAAUGAUAUAGGACCUUGGUACUAUUUUGUUGGUUUGCGCACUGAGGUAAUGAUUAAGAGGGACAGUUGGGGGUAUUUGUAUUCCAUUGUCAGAGGUGAAAUUCUUGGAUUUUUGGAAGACAAACUACUGCGAAAGCAUUUACCAAGGAUGUUUUCAUUAAUCAAGAACGAAAGUUAGGGGAUCGAAGACGAUCAGAUACCAU